AGAGUUUGAUUCUGGCUCAGAACGAACGCUGGCAGCGUGGAUUAGGCAUGCAAGUCGAACGUGAAGCUGUUGAUCAAUUCUUCGGAAGAGUGAUUCAGUGGAAAGUGGCGAAAGGGUGAGUAUCGCGUGGGCAACCUACCCCUAAGUUGGGGAUAACGCUUCGAAAGAAACGCUAAUACCGAAUGUGGUCCUCCGUCGCAUGGCGGGGAGAUUAAAGGUGGGGAUUCUUCGGAACCUGCCGCUCAGGGAGGGGCCCGCGUCCGAUCAGCUUGUUGGUGAGGUAACGGCUCACCAAGGCUACGACCGGUAGCUGGUCUGAGAGGAUGGUCAGCCACACUGGGACUGAGACACUGCCCAGACUCCUACGGGAGGCUGCAGUCGAGUAUCAUUCGCAAUGCGCGAAAGCGUGACGAUGCGACGCUGCGUGGAGGAUGACGGCCUUCGGGUUGUAAACUCCUGUCAUGAGGGAACAGUCCUUCGGCGGAUAAUACCCGCUGGAAUCGAUGGUACCUCAAGAGGAAGCCACGGCUAACUCUGUGCCAGCAGCCGCGGUAAUACAGAGGUGGCGAGCGUUGUUCGGAUUUACUGGGCGUAAAGCGUGCGUAGGUGGCGUCGUAUGUCGGAUGUGAAAGCCCACGGCUCAACCGUGGAACUGCAUUCGAAACUGCGGUGCUAGAGUACAGGAGGGGAGAGCGGAAUUCUUGGUGUAGCGGUGAAAUGCGUUGAUAUCAAGAAGAACACCGGUGGCGAAGGCGGCUCUCUGGAAUGUUACUGACACUGAGGCACGAAAGCUGGGGGAGCAAAACAGGAUUAGAUACCCUGGUAGUCCCAGCCGUAAACGGUGUGAACUUGGUGUUGGCGGUAUUGACCCCGCCAGUGCCGGAGCUAACGCGUUAAGUUCACCGCCUGGGGAGUACGGUCGCAAGGCUAAAACUCAAAGAAAUUGACGGGGGCCCGCACAAGCGGAGGAGCAUGUGGCUUAAUUCGAUGCAACGCGAAGAACCUUACCAGGGCUUGACAUAAUGCUGCAAGCCACCCGAAAGGGAGGACGCCUUCGAGGGUGCAUUACAGGUGCUGCAUGGCUGUCGUCAGUUCGUGCCGUGAGGUGUUGGGUUAAGUCCCGCAACGAACGCAACCCCUGUGGUUAGUUGCCACUCCAGGUGAUGAGCCUGGAAGCACUCUAGUCAGACUGCCCGUACAAGCGGGAGGAAGGUGGGGACGACGUCAAGUCAGUGUGGCCCUUACGCCCUGGGCUGCACACGUGCUACAAUGGUCGGUACAGAGGGAUGCAAUGCCGCGAGGUGGAGCAAAUCCCCAAAGCCGGCCCCAGUUCGGAUUGGAGUCUGCAACUCGACUCCAUGAAGUCGGAUUCGCUAGUAACGGCGUAUCAGCUACGGCGCCGUGAAUACGUUCCCGGGCCUUGUACACACCGCCCGUCACAUCAUGAAAGCCGUCUGCACCCGAAGUCGCUGAGCCAACCAAUUUAUUGGAGGCAGGUGCCGAAGGUGUGGGUGGUGAUUGGGAUGAAGUCGUAACAAGGUA
rnacentral:rRNA from 1 species